CGGCAAACUAUAUUCAGCUGUGGUGUCAACUCCUGUACAAUUUUCUGCAUCACUGGGUAAAGUUUGUCCU
rnacentral:pre_miRNA from 1 species